rnacentral:rRNA from 1 species
AGAGGGUGCAANCGUUAAUCGGAAUUACUGGGCGUAAAGCGAGCGUAGGUGGGCUUGAUAAGUCAGAUGUGAAAUCCCCGGGCUUAACCUGGGAACUGCAUCUGAAACUGUUAGGCUAGAGUAGGUGAGAGGGAAGUAGAAUUUCAGGUGUAGCGGUGAAAUGCGUAGAGAUCUGAAGGAAUACCGAUGGCGAAGGCAGCUUCUUGGCAUCAUACUGACACUGAGGCUCGAAAGCGUGGGUAGCAAACAGGAUUAGAUACCCUGGUAGUCCACGCCGUAAACGAUGUCUACUAGUCGUUGGGUCCCUUGAGGACUUAGUGACGCAGCUAACGCAAUAAGUAGACCGCCUGGGGAGUACGGCCGCAAGGUUAAAACUCAAAUGAAUUGACGGGGGCCCGCACAAGCGGUGGAGCAUGUGGUUUAAUUCGAUGCAACGCGAAGAACCUUACCUGGUCUUGACAUAUCUAGAAUCCUGCAGAGAUGCGGGAGUGCCUUCGGGAAUUAGAAUACAGGUGCUGCAUGGCUGUCGUCAGCUCGUGUCGUGAGAUGUUGGGUUAAGUCCCGCAACGAGCGCAACCCUUGUCCUUAGUUACCAGCGGGUUAAGCCGGGAACUCUAAGGAUACUGCCAGUGACAAACUGGAGGAAGGCGGGGAGGACGUCAAGUCAUCAUGGCCCUUACGACCAGGGCUACACACGUGCUACAAUGGUAGGUACAGAGGGCAGCUACACAGCGAUGUGAUGCGAAUCUCAAAAAGCCUAUCGUAGUCCAGAUUGGAGUCUGCAACUCGACUCCAUGAAGUAGGAAUCGCUAGUAAUCGCGGAUCAGAAUGCCGCGGUGAAUACGUUCCCGGGCCUUGUACACACCGCCCGUCACACCAUGGGAGUUGAUUGCACCAGAAGUGGAUAGCUUAACCUUCGGGAGGCGUCACCAUAGGUGUGAU